UACGUAGGGUGCAAGCGUUAAUCGGAAUUACUGGGCGUAAAGCGUGCGCAGGCGGUGAUGUAAGACAGAUGUGAAAUCCCCGGGCUCAACCUGGGAACUGCAUUGGUGACUGGCAAGCUAGAGUAUGGCAGAGGGGGGUAGAAUUCCACGUGUAGCAGUGAAAUGCGUAGAGAUGUGGAGGAAUACCGAUGGCGAAGGCAGCCCCCUGGGCCAAUACUGACGCUCAUGCACGAAAGCGUGGGGAGCAAACAGG
rnacentral:rRNA from 1 species